AGACCACAUUUGAGGGUUGACUGCUACUGGGGUUCUCUUUCUGGAGUUCCCUUCUUUGUGGAGUCUUUUCUGAAGCAUGUUUAAUCCUUAAAAGAGAGGAGAAAAGGGAAAAGGAUGUCAAAAGAUAAGCUUGCACCUUCCAGAAAGUUUUGCAUAGGAAGAGGAAACUAAUAAUUGGAAAUUUGAACUUUAAAGUGUUGAUGUUGCUUAGACAUAAUCUUAUAUUUUCAUCGAACUCUUUGUCUUUGGAAGCAUAAAAUUCUAGAGUUUUAGAGUAUUGUGUUUUUUUAGUAAAAAAAAUUUAACUAUACAUCAAUCAUGUAACAGGAAAGAGUAGAUGUAAUAUAUUUCUCUGCAUAGAGUCCUAACUUUUGAAGUAUGAAACUACAGUGUGUGCAGGGGGGAAUGAAAAGGACAGAUGGAGAACCAACUACAGAAAAAAGAAUGAAAGAGAUCAUACACAAGAGUGAGGGUUUGCAGUGCCUUAUUAGCAACUAUUACUUAGGUUGCUCUGAAGGUAGUAUUUCCUAUUUAUUUCCAUGGGAACUACUACUACAAAGAGCUCAGUAGCAGUAUUUGAAGCACAAUCUCAGCUACAAAACACUAGUUAUCAACAUAGUCUUAAGUUAUACUAAAAGAUUAACAUUAAUCCAGGUAAAGAUAAGAAUAUCACAGUUUUCAUCUAUUUAUUUAGGUUCAGAUUUCAGUCUAGGUAUUUUGUACAUAUUUCUUUGCCUUCAAACUCACUUGGGUUGUUCCUUGGCAUACAGAAAUGCCAAUGCACAUGCUUUGGUUUUCAGUAUUUUCAUUAUUUACAGCUGAUGUUUGAAGGAGAACCACUAUUAAUCACAGUCUGAAUGUUACCAUGCUGUAAGUCAUCCUUAAUCUCAUCAGCUUUUCCUCCCACAGUGGUGACUUAUCUUUUAGAGAUAUGCCAAUGGUGAAGGAUAUAAUCAUGUUUGUCUUUUUUUUAAUAUAUUUCAUUGUGGUAUAAGAUUUGUAAAAACAGAAGGCUAAUAUAUGGUCACAUUCUUUUCAUUUAGAAAGUAGCUGCAUUUGUAUUUUCCCAUAUAAGAUUAGAUUUUGCACUUACCAUAGUAAUGUCUUGUUUCUAGUACUGAGAAACAUGCUAUUGACAAUAUUGGAACUUUUUUUGUUUUUCAUAUAUUCAAUUCCCUUUUUUAUUACCAAGGCAAAGCCCAUCAAAGGGAAGUAUGAAGUUCUAACAGGUGAAAACAAGGAUGGAUGUGGCAGUAUAUUAGCCAGUAGUAUAUUAGCUAAUAUACUAAUAUAAGCUAAUAUAUAGUAUAUUAGCUAUGUCUGCCAAAUUCCAAAAUUGUUUACGUAGAAAUUAUAACAUGCAAAUAAUUAUACUUCAUUAGAAAAAAAUGACCUGGGUAUAAGAGGAAGAAUCAUGGAAAAGGAAAACCCUCUUGCCUUGUCUGAAAACCUGAUGUAAGUGUAAAGUUCUUGAAGUAGCUAUUCUAAAUCAGAUGAAGAUACACAGCUGAAAAUGUAAAUAACCUGUCCCUGAGUUUCCUCUGUAUUCUGUUCAAAGCAGGUAGGAUUUUGUGCUAAAAAUGAUAUGAAAGAAAAAGGAAGAGUAUGGACGAACCACGAAGAAAAAAACAGAGUUUAGGGAACAAAAAAUAAGUUGAAUUAAAAAAGCCAAAUG